rnacentral:tRNA from 1 species
GGGGCCUUAGCUCAGUUGGUAGAGCGCCUGCUUUGCAAGCAGGAAGUCAGGGGUUCGAAUCCCCUAGGCUCCA